UGUUAUCCAAAAUGUGAAGGGGGUAUGUGAUUCCGGAAUCUUCACUCUUUCAAUCUCGCAAUGCUGUCAAAUUAAUGCUGGAGAUUGAUUACUAUUCUAGACUCUCUUUCUGCUAAAGUGCUAAAAGCUAAAUAUUAUCCUAAUGAAAUCCUAUUGCAGACAAGUUUCAAAAAUAGUUCAUCUUUUGCAUGGCAGACUAUAAUGAAGGGAUUGGAAACGUUUAAACAUGGAUACAUCUAG
rnacentral:rRNA from 1 species